rnacentral:rRNA from 1 species
AGAGUUUGAUUCUGGCUCAGAAUGAACGCUGGCGGCGUGGUUAAGACAUGCAAGUCGAACGGUGUUCAGUCUGUGGCAAUACAGAUUGAACGCAGUGGCAGACGGGUGCGUAACACGUAAGCAAUCUACCUUUGUGUGGGGAAUAACCUGUCGAAAGACGGGCUAAUGCCGCAUAUGGUUGCCCCCUGCAUGGUGGGCAUACUAAAAUCCGGGACCGCAAGGCCGGAUGCACAAAGAGGAGCUUGCGGCCUAUCAGCUAGUUGGCGGGGUAACGGCCCACCAAGGCAAAGACGGGUAGCUGGUCUGAGAGGACGACCAGCCACACUGGAACUGAGACACGGUCCAGACACCUACGUGUGGCAGCAGUUUCGAAUUAUUCACAAUGGGCGAAAGCCUGAUGGUGCGACGCCGCGUGAGGGACGAAGGUCUUCGGAUUGUAAACCUCUGUCACCGGGGAAGAAUGGUUGUGACCCAACACGUCACAAAUUGACUUAACCCGGAGAGGAAGCAGUGGCUAACUCUGUGCCAGCAGCCGCGGUAAUACAGAGACUGCAAGCGUUAUUCGGAUUCACUGGGCGUAAAGGGUGCGCAGGCGGUCGCGUGUGUUAGAUGUGAAAGCCCGAGGCUCAACCUCGGAAUUGCGUCCAAAACUACGCGACUAGAGUACCGGAGAGGAUAGCGGAAUUCACGGUGUAGCAGUGAAAUGCGUAGAUAUCGUGAAGAACACCAGCGGCGAAGGCGGCUAUCUGGAAGGUAACUGACGCUCAGGCACGAAAGCGUGGGGAGCAAAAGGGAUUAGAUACCCCUGUAGUCCACGCCCUAAACGGUGCACACUAGGUGUUAGCGGAUUCGACCCCGUUAGCGCCCAAGCUAACGCGUUAAGUGUGCCGCCUGAGGACUACGGCCGCAAGGCUAAAACUCAAAGGAAUUGACGG